rnacentral:rRNA from 1 species
UGGAUCCAGACUUUGAUCCUGGCUCAGGAUGAACGCUAGCUACAGGCUUAACACAUGCAAGUCGAGGGGCAGCAUGAACUUAGCUUGCUAAGUUUGAUGGCGACCGGCGCACGGGUGAGUAACACGUAUCCAACCUUCCGUUUACUCAGGGAUAGCCUUUCGAAAGAAAGAUUAAUACCUGAUAGUAUGGUGAGAUUGCAUGAUAACACCAUUAAAGAUUCAUUGGUAAACGAUGGGGAUGCGUUCCAUUAGGUAGUAGGCGGGGUAACGGCCCACCUAGCCUACGAUGGAUAGGGGUUCUGAGAGGAAGGUCCCCCACAUUGGAACUGAGACACGGUCCAAACUCCUACGGGAGGCAGCAGUGAGGAAUAUUGGUCAAUGGGCGCGAGCCUGGACCAGCCAAGUAGCGUGAAGGAUGAAGGUCCUACGGAUUGUAGACUUCUUUUAUAAGGGAAUAAAGUCGCCUACGUGUAGGCGUUUGUAUGUACCUUAUGAAUAAGCAUCGGCUAACUCCGUGCCAGCAGCCGCGGUAAUACGGAGGAUGCGAGCGUUAUCCGGAUGUAUUGGGUUUAAAGGGAGCGUAGACGGAGGAUUAAGUCAGUUGUGAAAGUUUGCGGCUCAACCGUAAAAUUGCAGUUGAUACUGGUCCCCUUGAGUGCAGUUGAGGCAGGCGGAAUUCGUGGUGUAGCGGUGAAAUGCUUAGAUAUCACGAAGAACCCCGAUUGCGAAGGCAGCCUGCUAAGCUGUAACUGACGUUGAUGCUCGAAAGUGUGGGUAUCAAACAGGAUUAGAUACCCUGGUAGUCCACACGGUAAACGAUGGAUACUCGCUGUUGGCGAUAUACUGUCAGCGGCCAAGCGAAAGCAUUAAGUAUCCCACCUGGGGAGUACGCCGGCAACGGUGCAACUCAAAUGAAUUGACGGA